AAAAACAUAGGGGGUAGGCUCCCUUUUUUCUAUCACAUUACCAAUUUACGUAUACUUACCUAUUCGUGAAUUCCGCGUUCGCGCCACUAAACUAGACGAACGCUCGCUAUACUUACGUUUCAUGGGGGCUUUCGCAUGAUCUAACUGCCGAACUACGUAAGAGCAUAACUCUAAGGCUAAUCGUUUCAAUCCUGUUUUACUGUUCGGUCAUAUGCACGAACCAUGUACUUAUUACUUAUCCGUUCAGGCACUUUAAACGAAUUGUGUAAAAACCUGUUCACCCCUCGCUAACUUACCUAAUUCAUGCUAUUCGCGCGGGAGUAAACGAACGCACAUUAUACUUAACCUAAGCAGGUCCCACGUUCGGCUAAAACUACCGCUCUCCGUUCAGUAUAAUACAAACAUUUC